rnacentral:rRNA from 1 species
AGAGUUUGAUUCUGGCUCAGAUUGAACGCUGGCGGCAUGCGUUACACAUGCAAGUCGAACGGCAGCACGGGCUUCGGUCUGGUGGCGAGUGGCGAACGGGUGAGUAAUGCAUCGGAACGUACCCGGGAGUGGGGGAUAACUAUCCGAAAGGAUGGCUAAUACCGCAUAUUCUGUGAGCAGGAAAGCAGGGGAUCUUCGGACCUUGUGCUUCCGGAGCGGCCGAUGUCAGAUUAGCUAGUUGGUGGGGUAAAGGCCUACCAAGGCGACGAUCUGUAGCGGGUCUGAGAGGAUGAUCCGCCACACUGGAACUGAGACACGGUCCAGACUCCUACGGGAGGCAGCAGUGGGGAAUUUUGGACAAUGGGCGCAAGCCUGAUCCAGCCAUGCCGCGUGAGUGAAGAAGGCCUUCGGGUUGUAAAGCUCUUUCGGCCGGGAAGAAAUCGCGCAGGUUAAUACCCUGCGUGGAUGACGGUACCGGAAUAAGAAGCACCGGCUAACUACGUGCCAGCAGCCGCGGUAAUACGUAGGGUGCGAGCGUUAAUCGGAAUUACUGGGCGUAAAGCGUGCGCAGGCGGUUUUUUAAGACAGGCGUGAAAUCCCCGGGCUUAACCUGGGAACUGCGCUUGUGACUGGAAGACUAGAGUACGGCAGAGGGGGGUGGAAUUCCACGUGUAGCAGUGAAAUGCGUAGAGAUGUGGAGGAACACCAAUGGCGAAGGCAGCCCCCUGGGUCGAUACUGACGCUCAUGCACGAAAGCGUGGGGAGCAAACAGGAUUAGAUACCCUGGUAGUC